UACAGAGGGUGCGAGCGUUGUUCGGAAUUACUGGGCGUAAAGAGCAUGUAGGCGGUUUAGUAAGUCAGAUGUGAAAUCUCGGGGCUCAACCUCGAACGUGCAUUUGAAACUACUAGACUCGAGUAUGGUAGAGGAUUGUGGAAUACCCAGUGUAGAGGUGAAAUUCGUAGAUAUUGGGUAGAACACCGGUGGCGAAGGCGGCAAUCUGGGCCAUAACUGACGCUGAGAUGCGAAAGCGUGGGGAGCAAACAGG
rnacentral:rRNA from 1 species